UUUCACACCUCUGGGCUGCGCCGGUUUGGUAAACUUUUAAGUCAGUUUUGUUUAUAAUAAAUAGACAUGGAUUUUUAAAAGCCCCAUUUUUUAAGCGUUCCCCUUGUUUUUCAAAGGUAUUUUCUAAACAGAUGUUGAGUAGGACGUUUGAACUGUGACCUUAAGGAACUGCCGGUGGAGACUGGCCGGUCCCCGCCACGCCGGCGGGGCGCGGGGGGCCGGGGCGCGGGGGGCCGGGGCGCGGGGCCGGCGCGAGCCCGGGCUGGGUAGGGCCUGGGGUGCCCGCUGAGCAGCUGUCAUUCAUUGGUGCUGUAACCUUCUAAGGCUCUCUGUCCAGACUUUAAGCUGUUUCCCUUCAUUUUGGGGGGCCAGUGGCUCCCCCCGCCCCUGGCGUCCGGCGUGUGUCGGGGGGGACUGCUGUGUGCCUUCCCCGACGGGAAGGGCGGCUGGGCGUGGCGGGGCCUCUCGGGGCCCAGGGCAGCGCUCCCCGGGCUUCCUGACCUUGGGGGCCAUCGGUGCUGCCCCGGGGACCCGGGGGUGGCUCCACGCGUGGGGUCCACAGAGCCCCCCCCCGGCCUGUGUGCAGACUGUGAGGCGCGGGCCCCCCUCCCCCCGUGUCUGUCUUGGUUCGCCGCCUCCUGCCGCCGUCGCCCCCUUUGCCGUCAUUUGGGGAACAAGAACGCCCACGUCGCCGUUCCUAACGCCGCCCUAACACUUCCAGGAAGGUUUUCGUUUUUCUAUUUAAAAUGUUACUUUUCUGUAUGAUGUGCAUGCAAGUUGACCGUACCUUUUCUUAAGCUUUUUAGUGCCGUUUCUAGUAGAUUCCUGUAAAUGUCAGUUACUGAAAAUGAGUACAAUGUAAGUAGCUUUAGCUUGUUUUUUGCAAUGCCAGCCUCAACACCACAGAGUAAAAACGGUAGAAAGUACUCUUUGAUGUUUCUGGUAAUCAUGGACCCUUCUCCUGGGGUAUUUGUUUUGUUUUCAUAAUAAAAAGGG